rnacentral:rRNA from 1 species
AAACCUAAGAAACCCAAAAGAUCGAACGGGGAGAUUCAUCGUCAGCGGCGCUGGCUUCGCGUCGGUGGGCGAUGUCCCGCGGGGUCCUCGUGGCUCGCUUGCGCGGGCACGCUACCGUGCGUCGACGUCCGGCGUUCGUAGUCGUGCACUUCUCCCCUAGUAGAACGUCGCGACCCGCUGGAUACCGGUCGGCGACGCUACUGCUUUGGGUACUCUUAGGACCCGUCUUGAAACAC